AGCUUUGGUGAGGUGGACAGGAGGUGACCUCGCGAGCAGACGCGCGCGCCAGCGACAGCAGCCCGCCCCGGCCUCUCGGGAGCCGUGGGGCAGAGGCUGCGGAGCCCCAGGAGGGCCGGAGCCCUCAUGACUUCAGUGACCUGCUUCUGCCCCUCUAGGUCUAUCAGCCACAGUCUCUGCAAGUUUCCAAGAGCAGCAGAAAAUGAACACAUUGCAGGGGCCAGUGUCAUUCAAAGAUGUGGCUGUGGAUUUCACCCAGGAGGAGUGGCAGCAACUGGACCCUGAUGAGAAGAUAGCAUACGGGGAUGUGAUGUUGGAGAACUACAGCCAUCUAGUUUCUGUGGGGUAUGAUUAUCACCAAGCCAAACAUCAUCAUGGAGUGGAGGUGAAGGAAGUGGAGCAGGGAGAGGAGCCGUGGAUAAUGGAAGGUGAAUUUCCAUGUCAACAUAGUCCAGCUUUCACAGCAUUGAAAAGAUCAUUGGCUGGUGGCUCUGACUGUUUCCGGCUAUGACGAUGUACCACUCGGGACCCUUUCUCUGGAUGUUUGCCAUCUAAUAUGUAUAAAAAGAUCAGAAAUAUGAAAAAAAGGUAACAAUGACAUU
rnacentral:lncRNA from 1 species